UACGGGGGAUGCAAGCGUUAUCCGGAUUUAUUGGGUUUAAAGGGUGCGUAGGCUGUAAGGUAAGUCAGCGGUGAAAUGCCCCCGCUCAACGGGGUGAAGUGCCAUUGAUACUGCCUUGCUGGAAUGCGGAUGCCGUGGGAGGAAUGUGUGGUGUAGCGGUGAAAUGCAUAGAUAUCACACAGAACACCGAUUGCGAAGGCAUCUCACGAAUCCGCGAUUGACGCUGAUGCACGAAGGCCAGGGGAGCGAAAGGG
rnacentral:rRNA from 1 species